rnacentral:rRNA from 1 species
GAUGAACGCUGGCGGCGUGCCUAAUACAUGCAAGUCGAGCGACGCGGGGGCGGGUGUGUAACACGUGGAUAACCUCCUAUAAGACUGGGAUUACUUCGGGAAACCGGUGCUAAACCGGCUUCUUUUAGCUGGUUCCGCUCUGCAUUAGCUAGUUGGUAAGGUAACGGAUUACCAAGGCAACGAUGCAUAGCCGACCUGAGAGGGUGAUCGGCCACACUGGAACUGAGACACGGUCCAGACUCCUACGGGAGGCAGCAGUAGGGAAUCUUCCGCAAUGGGCGAAAGCCUGACGGAGCAACGCCGCGUGAGUGAAGAAGGUCUUCGGAUCGUAAAGCUCUGUUAGCAGGGAAGCGGUACCUAAUCAGAAAGCCACGGCUAACUACGUGCCAGCAGCCGCGGUAAUUC